rnacentral:rRNA from 1 species
UACGUAGGGGGCAAGCGUUGUCCGGAAUUACUGGGCGUAAAGCGCGUGUAGGCGGGUCCGCAAGUCUGCUGUGAAAGCUCCUGGCUUAACCGGGAGUGGUCGGUGGAAACUGCGAACCUGGAGGACGGUAGAGGUAGGUAGAAUUCCCGGUGUAGUGGUGAAAUGCGUAGAGAUCGGGAGGAAUACCUGUGGCGAAGGCGGCCUACUGGGCCGGACCUGACGCUGAGACGCGAAGGCGUGGGGAGCGAACGGG